AUACGGAGGGGGUUAGCGUUGUUCGGAAUUACUGGGCGUAAAGCGCACGUAGGCGGACUGGAAAGUUGGGGGUGAAAUCCCGGGGCGCAACCCCGGAACUGCCUCCAAAACUUCCGAUCUAGAGAUCGAGAGAGGUGAGUGGAAUUCCAAGUGUAGAGGUGAAAUUCGUAGAUAUUUGGAGGAACACCAGUGGCGAAGGCGGCUCACUGGCUCGAUACUGACGCUGAGGUGCGAAAGCGUGGGGAGCAAACAGGAUUAGAAACCCUAGUAGUCC
rnacentral:rRNA from 1 species